CAAGGGAGAACUCCCUUCUCCCUUACGUCCUCCCUAAGGAAGCCUGUAACCCAAAAGGGAAGAAACGGAAGUAAGAGGGAAGCACAGAACAGUUUUUAACACAGGCUUGAUUUCAAGUUAUGGAAUAAGAUAAGAAAACUGAGGUCCAGAUCAGUAAAUUACCAGAGGUCAUACAGCUACCUCCAUAAUGCCCAUCCAAGGAAGGCUGUAAUGGUGAGAUAUUCCACAAUGAAACUAUAGUCACUGGAAUUUUCGUGAUUGUAAUUAUCCACAGUAUUUUCACUAGAUAAACAAGGAAAACCAAG